AGAACUUCCCCAACCAUUUCCCCUCAGUGCAGCUGGUACCAGCUUGAAACCUAAGACACAUAGCACUGCAGCCCGGCCAAAGCAUGGCUAAUCCGUGUUUCUUUAGACACAGCAGGAAGCUGCUCUGUGGCCUGGUGUCAGGAACCAUCUCAGGGCCCAUGGGUGUUCUGCUUCCUUGGUUUGACCCUGAGGGGUCAGCUGGCAGGUGAAGCCCAUCAACACUGACUCUGUAGACGGGGACUAUCAUCAGCAGCUUAUGGAAGAGAGGGAAGAGGAUGUCUGGGAUUUGAAUCUUUUACUCAGGGCCUUUUCUGGAAAAGCAGUCUCUUUGGAAAAGGAGGAUGAUAGAGGAGUUUCCAUAAGGUGGAAACGGCUCCCUCCAUGUGUGACUGUGAGAAGGGAGUGUCGGUCCAGUGCCAUGUCCCAUUCCAACAGGUGGCCUCCAGUUGCCAUCAGUGCCCUUCGCCAUGCCUUCGUCCUGGGGGUGGCCUGCAGUGUUGGUAGGGGACCCUGCCUUUCCUGGCCAUCCCCAUAGGCCACAGGCCCCUCCAGUAUGCUGCUCCUGCACGGUGCCCAGAGCCUGUUCCACCCCGCCAGGCACCUCUGUCCGUCACAUCGGCUGCACACAUCAGCUCUGCCCCACUCUGUGUUUCUGAAUUACUCUCACUGGCAACCAGCACAAGCUCUGCCCUCCCAGUGUCCUGAUAUCCUCUGGUUAAUAAGCAGCUCACAUAAAGACACCAAGAGCUGUUGCAAGUGGUAGAGAAAAGCCACAGCUCUCUGAAUACAGUCCAGGAAGCCCUGGACUUGGCCCAGGAACUUGGUGGCUGUUUCUGUUCUCUGCCCCUUGGUAGCCUUCCUCACCGGGUAUAAAAGGGAGAGAAGCUUGAAUCCUUACCCUGAGGCAUAGGAGACUACAAGGCAGUGAGGGGCUUAUUAGUCAAUGAGAGACUUUUGCUGAAGCUGGACGACCCUUCCUGGAGGAGUCCUCUUUUCUAAAAGAAAACAAAUUCCUGCCCUUUAUUCUUUCAAAUCUACUUCUAGAAAAGUCUUAGAGUUCCUGUUAAUUCAAACACCAAUCUCCCACCUUCCCUCUCUCCUGUCUCUAUGAGCUGCCUGGGCGGCACACUUCCUACCCACCUGCUCACUCCCUCCAUCUCCUAUACUGUUUUAUCCCCUGGAGUUUGGAGAUGUCCCUGUGGAAGGGGACAGUGGGGAGUGUGUGCCAGAUCCCCCCCGCCCAUUGUCACCUUGGUCUGAAUCCAACCCCACAAGGGGAGCUGGAGCCGUCUCCCUGCAUCUCCCUGGGCCUGCCCAUUGUCAAGGUCCUGGUCACCUUUGAAGCCUCCUGCAGGGAUCCCCAGUGCCAAUGGAGCCUUUUCCAAAGCCCAGUAGCAUGACAUUUUAGACUUGGAAAUCCCUAGACAAAUAAAUCUCACUUAAUC
rnacentral:lncRNA from 1 species